rnacentral:rRNA from 1 species
UACGAAGGGUGCAAGCGUUACUCGGAAUUACUGGGCGUAAAGCGUGCGUAGGUGGUUUGUUAAGUCUGCUGUGAAAGCCCCGGGCUCAACCUGGGAAUGGCAGUGGAUACUGGCAAGCUAGAGUGCGGUAGAGGGGUGUGGAAUUCCCGGUGUAGCGGUGAAAUGCGUAGAGAUCGGGAAGAACAUCGGUGGCGAAGGCGGUCUGCUGGGCCGUUGCUGACGCUGAGGCGCGACAGCGUGGGGAGCAAACAGG